CCUUAUAUUUGCGGCACCACAGCUCACCAUCAACCAACCAGUCAAGGUGCCUCUAAGCUUCAUGGAGCAUUCCGCUACUAAGAUCCUCCUCUCCCUCUCUUUGAUGGCUCUCCUCUUCUCGGCUCUCAUCAUUUCUCCAUCUCACUCAAGGGAGAUCCCAGGCUGCAGUCACCCAAGUACAGGUGGAGAUGCUGCAGUGAGCUCACGAGGGCUUGUGAGGAUGGCUAGGGAGGCUAAGCUCACGCCACCUUCACCUGCUGCCAAUAAAAGGAACCCUGGUAGCCCUCGUGGUUGAGGCAUCGAGCUUCUUCCUCAUGGCUUUACGUGUCCUUGGAAUAUCUACCUCAUGGUUUCGCUUAUUGCCACCAUGCUAUCUUUUGUCUCUUUAUCUCUUCUGAAUAUGAAAGUCUGAAGUUGGAGGCUUUUGUCUUAUAAAAGGAUAUUAAUUUGGGGUGUAAUUAUUGUUGUGAACUUGAUAUAUGGAAUAGAUUAACAGGGAAAUAGAUUCAGCAUAUGAAACAA